UAACGUACCUCAAUGGCCCCCUUCAGAAC
rnacentral:sRNA from 1 species